rnacentral:rRNA from 1 species
AGAACGAACGCUGGCGGCAUGCCUAAUACAUGCAAGUCGAACGAACUCUUCGGAGUUAGUGGCGCACGGGUGCGUAACGCGUGGGAAUCUGCCCUUGGGUUCGGAAUAACAGUUGGAAACGACUGCUAAUACCGGAUGAUGACGAAAGUCCAAAGAUUUAUCGCCCAGGGAUGAGCCCGCGUAGGAUUAGCUAGUUGGUGAGGUAAAGCGUCACCGAAGGACGACGAUCCUUACGCGUGGUCGUGAGGAGGAUCGUAUCACGCCACACGUAGGGACGUAGAGACGACCGG